CUGUGUUCGAGCACGUCUACAACGCUGUGAGCAGCAGCAGCAGCAGCAUGUGACACACCGAGAAACUUGGUUUGGACAGGCGCCUGCUCCGCCAGAAAUGCGAGCAAGGCACGGAGGGUGUUUCAGUAGUGCGCAGAGCGUGCUGGGAGCUUUGGUAGCGCGCUUCCGACCGCGUAGCAUGCUGGUGUCUCGCAGCCGCUUUAAGCUGACCAAGCUCGAAUCAUGCUUUGAUCUUCAAUCUUCGGAUAUGGGUACUUGAGAUUCAGAACCCGGACGACGAGAUAUGCGCUUUGUUUAAGGAUUUAGCUCGUGAUACCUGAGAGAAAUUGCACCGCACUGCGUCGACGGUAUCAAUGCGCUUUGCCUGUUGCAACGCAGCGACAAGGACGCUCUUGUUGGAAUGAAACGGACCGCAUUCACAUAGACUCCUCGUGCGUGUGCGAUAAAGUUCGGGUCGGGUUCCGUUGUCGUUGGAACUAGCCUCUGCGUACUUUCAAGGCGACAGCUCGCUAUUCCUCUCUAUCUCUUAUCUCCGGGAUUUACUGACGCCGGGCUCACGCUUCGGCUCCGUUUUUCGCAGUCCAAGCGUGUCGAUGGCAGCGUUUACCUAUCGAUUCCGCGGCUUCUAGUUGCUGCCCACGUAUCUGACGCAGAGCCGGUGGGUGCGAUCUAUGCUUCGCUUGCCAUCUUCAUCUUCAUUGAAUAAGGGUUUCGUGCGCCCUUUCGAGCAUUGCCUCUUGAUCGUGGUAAGAUGUUGCCGUCCGUCCAGCGUACGCUCUCUUCGGCGCAGCGCCCGGGGGCGCGCGAACGAUUUCUUCACCGCUCGGUACGUUCUUUUGACGAGUACACACAGGGCUCCGCCCGAUGCCCUGCUUCGUGUCGUGUGCCGGAUGCCCUGCAAACGCGGGCUUCUUUUUUGACGAUCUCCUUGGCGAGUGCUCCCUCCACAACACACGCAAGCGCGUGCUGUUCCAUUCAUUGGAGAAUUUCUGGAAUGCGAUCUUAUCCAUGACGAAAAGUGGACUGGAAUUAGACUCCAGCUUCAAGACGGACUCUGGCAGUAUCGAUCCGUCUAUGCGCCCUUCGUGCAAAGCGAUGAAACGCUUUCCACUGGAAGCGCUCGCUCUGAUGACCGCAGUCCGAGCCUGAGGUCCAUUCCUGAGAGGGCAGAGGAAGCGGGAGCCUCUGGAAGCAUAGCAUACGAGCGGAAGCAUGCCGGUAUGGAAUAUCUUUUCACCGAUACCCAGAAAGCCGGGACUGCUUGGCUUUCGAACAUAAUCGAUACGCUGGCACGACAGGUUCAGUGAACUUGGUCCCAAAGCUUGAAUGCAUGUCGUCUAGGGUCAAUGCGGCAAACGUUUCCGCGUCGAUCCAGCCGCACCAAUUGCUACACCGCGGCGCUUUGCCUUGAAAGAAAAAGAUGGAAAACUUGAAGCUUGUGGGAUGUAAGCCUGCUCGCCAUAAAAAACGUAGGCGUGCUCUGCCUCUGGUUGAGCGCAUCUUAGCGAGG